CAACCCCCAGUUCUGGAGAGCUACUGGGUGUGAAGGCCUUUGCUUAGGGCAAGAAGAGCCCUGUGGCUUCAGACUAUUGGGUGUGGGAGAGUGGGAAAUCUGGGGACCCGUUGUCCAAGUAGGCUACACGUAGCGACUGUAUGUGUGUGGAAAACAUUUAACCACAGGCAGGCGGGACUGUGACAUUCUAUCUAAUACCGACUGGGACUCCGAAAUCCUCCAACCAGGAUUUCUGGGAAACCAGGGAAUUUAUUGAAAUGUCACAGAAUUUUGCAACCCUACUGUUAUGUCAACUUCUCUGCAAGGGAAUGGACCAUAGACGGAUUAAACUGAAGCCUGCCCUCUAGCGGCCUACAUAGAGCACCACGAUCACCAGGAGUAUGACCAUGCACAGUAAAAUGGCCAUCACUGCCCUGGUGCUGAGACCCACUGGUAGGAAGACUGCUUCUGCCGUGCAGGACAGGAGGGACCCGUCGGUCUCACAGAUACACAUGCCGACAGUGAGGGUGCCAGUGCUGCUCUGGGCUGGGUAGCCACUGUCCUCCACCACCACCACAUAGUACUCUUGGACUCACCUCUGAAACACCACACGCUUGGUCACUAUCCCCGCUGUGUUGUUUCCAAAGUGUCGCACUGUGAAAUUCAUUUUUCUGAUUUCACUGGGGGACUUGAAGAAGAACUUCU
ensembl:lncRNA